rnacentral:rRNA from 1 species
CCUACGGGUGGCUGCAGUGGGGAAUAUUGGACAAUGGGGGGAACCCUGAUCCAGCCAUGCCGCGUGUGUGAAGAAGGCCCUCGGGUUGUAAAGCACUUUCAGUGAGGAAGAACGCCUGGUGGUUAAUACCCAUCAGGAAAGACAUCACUCACAGAAGAAGCACCGGCUAACUCCGUGCCAGCAGCCGCGGUAAUACGGAGGGUGCGAGCGUUAAUCGGAAUUACUGGGCGUAAAGCGCGCGUAGGUGGCGUGAUAAGCCGGUUGUGAAAGCCCCGGGCUCAACCUGGGAACGGCAUCCGGAACUGUCAAGCUAGAGUGCAGGAGAGGAAGGUAGAAUUCCCGGUGUAGCGGUGAAAUGCGUAGAGAUCGGGAGGAAUACCAGUGGCGAAGGCGGCCUUCUGGACUGACACUGACACUGAGGUGCGAAAGCGUGGGUAGCAAACAGGAUUAGAUACCCUGGUAGUC